rnacentral:rRNA from 1 species
GACGAACGCUGGCGGCGUGCUUAAUACAUGCAAGUCGAACGGAAAGGCCCUGCUUUUGUGGGGUGCUCGAGUGGCGAACGGGUGAGUAACACGUGAGUAACCUGCCCUUGACUUUGGGAUAACUUCAGGAAACUGGGGCUAAUCCCGGAUAGGAGCUCCUGCUGCUUGGUGGGGGUUGGAAAGUUUCGGCGGUUGGGGAUGGACUCGCGGCCUAUCAGCUUGUUGGUGGGGUAGUGGCUUACCAAGGCUUUGACGGGUAGCCGGCCUGAGAGGGUGACCGGCCACAUUGGGACUGAGAUACGGCACAGACUCCUAUGGGAGGCAGCAGUGGGGAAUAGUGCACAAUGGGCGGAAGCCUGAUGCAGCAACGCCGCGUGCGGGAUGACGGCCUUCGGGUUGUAAACCGCUUUCGCCUGUGACGAAGCGUGAGUGACGGUAAUGGGUAAAGAAGCACCGGCUAACUACGUG